CUAUAGUAAUGAGUUCGAAAGUUUAUCAACCUCUGUGUACGGCCUGGAUUACAGGCGAAAUUGGGUAGAGAAAAAUUUCAAUAAACAAUGUUGCAGUUUUGCAAUCCGCUUUGAUUAAAAAAUUCAAAUUUCAGUUUCCAAGUAGAUUAGAUAAUUCGACAAUUUUCUUGUUCUUACUCGAAAUGUUAACUACAAACAUUGCAAGCUGCCUAUGGUCCAGUCCAUACUUCCAUCGUCCAUUCCCUUUCACACUUUAUACUUGUCUGCACUAGUCUCAACUCUAUGCUGCGUUCCUCUUUUCCCUAGCAUUGCAUCAAGCUCGGAUUAUUUUUACAACCUUUCUAAGUCUACGUCUACGUCUACAUCUGUAUCCAUAUCUCAAUUUACGUCGUCCUUCGCCGCCCGUCAUAUUACUCUGCUCCAUCAUCUCGUCCCUUCCCUUCCCUUUCCGCUUUAACCCUAACCAGGAAAAUUGUGAAACCGAUGGAUCGCUCGUCGCUGUGUACUUUGAUGUGAUUUCAUAAACCACCAAACCCUUCCACCGGAUCUGUUAAAACCGGUCAAAACACAGUAGAAAUGCUGUUGACUUGCUAUAAGAAAAAGUGAAAAGGCAAACCACUGGAGAAACGAAUCCUCAAGAAAACUAGGUAUAAGCAUAAUUUAAUGGAAUAAGCAUAUUUCUUGGGUACCACUUGUCCAUCAUUUUCAUCUAUUUAUUGUUACUUUUGGAUCCGGGUCGUUGGACAUGGCAAGAUCGCCGUAACCAGAUUAGGAAUAGAGUUAUUCGCUACUCAUAGCUCGGCGAUAAAGCAAAAGAGAAGAGAAAAUGCUGGAGCUAACACACAGGAUGCAAAUAACAAGAGCAGAUAUCGUUGCGAGGCAAGUCAUGGGAAGUCAUCUUGGAUGAUGUGCAAGUCUCCGAUAAUAGACCCACUUCAUUAGAAAAGCUCAUUUUUUGACCCUUCUAGAUGAGAUAGCUUUAGCAUUCAUAUUACUUAUUUUUUUGGUUUCAUCUUUUUUUUUGUUUUAUCUUAUCCUCUUUACCAUCCUUCCCUCCCUCCCUCCUUCUCUUUCCUUUUUCUACACACUCGGCUGCGUUACUGUACCCUAUGUGUCUCCGACGAUCCUACGCAAUUGCUACUUUAAUGAGCUCGCUUGUGAUUCGCUUUUCCUGAAUUGCAAAUUUUUCCUGCUUCUCCCUUUCCCAUCUUUGCGUGCAAUGACAUCAUAAUGCUGUCCAAUAUAUAAGAAAGCUACAUCUAUUUUGAGCCACCUGCAGAUAACCAACGUGUUGAAUUUUUAUACAUUCAACCACCAAUUCUUGUCCUAUUUCACCAGUAGAAAGAUAUAUCGAAAUUCUCCCCCCUAGUUUUGAGAUUUUCU